GGAGGCGUCGCAUAGCGGUCUAGUGCGCCAUCUUGGAAAGAUGGUAUACCUUAAUCGGUAUCGUGAGUUCGAAUCUCACCGCCUCCG
rfam:Candidatus Colwellbacteria bacterium RIFCSPLOWO2_01_FTLL_48_10 rifcsplowo2_01_scaffold_18213, whole genome shotgun sequence.